rnacentral:lncRNA from 10 species
CACCGCGUGGACUGGCUGGGCAGGAGUUGGGGACACUGAGGAGAGAGAAGGACACUGUAAGUUCAUGGCUCUGAAGAGGGGGCCCCUGUGGGGCUCAGGGCUUCAGGACCUACCCAGAGGGUGGGGCUGUGGGGAAGAAGCUCACACUUUCCAAUUUUAAGUGCCACCACACUGCCCGGCCAAGGUCACGCAGCGGCGGGGACAAGAUGCUGGAAACGGCAGGCAAGUUUCCUUCCAGUGGUGACUUCUGCUCGGGGGCUGAGAGCACCGCGGGCCCUCCUCCUGCCAUUAUGCAGGGCCCAGGGCAGCACCUGGUCAGGCAGCUCUGUGGGGCCCCUCCUCAGGUCCCCCCACACACACCCCUACAGGAUGUGCACCCGGAGCAGGUAGCCUCCGCGGGCUGCUGGCUCCUGCACAGGUGUCCACAAGGCGGCGCUGUGGGAAAAGGCUCGGGCCCAGGACAACCCCGUGUGGUCACAGAGGCAGAUCCUGGAAAGAGGCUGUGGAGGUGCCAUCGCCCUGCAGGGUGAAGGCGUGGCAGGUGGCUCUCCUGGAGACACCGCCCUCGGGAAGAGAUGACCCCUGCAGUUUUGCCCUGAGCCGCUGAGAUGCCCCUGCCCUCAUCCCCUCUCCCUCCCAGGCUGGAGCAACCACAGAUGGCUGGGAGUGACCGACACCCCCGGCUGCAGGUAUUCAGAGAAAGCCAAUGAAGACACGAAGAGUGGGUGCAGAACCUCCCGAGAGAAAGAGAUCCCACUGUCCUGAGCUCACGGGCACCCACCUAGCCCCGUCCUGAGAUGGACCCUGCCCACCUGUGAUGCUGACAUCCCCCCUCUCAGCUGACUUAGAGCCCCCGUGGCGGGUAGGAUGCUCCCUGCUGCACUGCCCUGCAGGCCACCCAGAACCAUCCAGAACCACCCAGAACCAUCCAGAACCAUCCAGAAGGUCCAUUCUCCUCCUCCCGCCUUGCUGCCCUUUCCUCUGCCAGGAACAUCCUUCCCUAACUGUCCAGGCACAAGACUCCUAGAUCUCCAAAACUUAGGUUAAGUAGGAGCCCCCUUGGGUGCAGGCGGGGCUCAAGAAACAUUUUUUGGAUGGAGCAGAGGAAUGAAUGAAAAAAAUCCUGUGGCUGAGAAAAACCUGACAGCUGACAUUAAUGAUCAGUUCAGGUCUGGGGCAUUUUCAGGAAGGACUCAGUGUCACCCACAUGGAACGUUAAGGACUCUGAUCUGGAAUUCCCAUUCUCUCUUACAACGGACUCCCCAAAUAUGGCAGAGAUAGGUAAGUUCCACACGUGUCGAAACUUAAAUGAACACCCACAAAUGGCUCGAUCGAGGUAGGAAACAGUCAAAAGGAAACCUUUUCUGAAUUUAGUUCUGAAUCCAAAAUACAAAACCCAAGUUUACAAGUAAGAUGAGAAGGGGAGAGAAAGGUUUUGACUGGUAACAGCACACAGCCCCCAAAAUCGGCUUUGUCAAAGGCCUCUGGGAACCAAACACCUCCCUGCUGAGGCAGGAUGGCCUCAUGGCCGGAGGGGCUGCAGACAAUGGGGCCAGCACACGCCUGUGCACCCGGUCCCAGACCCAAAGCCACUGGACGUCCCCCUUGGACUCAGCAGGAAGAACUGAAAUGUCAGUCCUUGCUGGGGACCACUGAGCCGAGGUGUCACUCACAUACACUCUGAUCUCCGGCCACAGGCUGGGGAAUGGCCACUCAGCUCGGAAAAUCUCAUCCGAGGCCCAUGAGGUGGCAGGCGGGCUCCUGGAUCCUUCCUGAGGACCAAUGAGGGGCACCCCCCAGCACUCCACAACAAACAGUGAUGGCCCAGCACGUGUGGCAGGGACCUGCUCCUGUUCCCAGCAGUUAUUUUGCAGAAGAUCAUAGAAAAUUCAUGUCUGCCGGGUGCGGUGGCUCAUGCCUGUAAGCCCAGCAAUUUGGGAGGCCCAGGCAGGAGGAUCGCUUGAGCCCACAUGGUCGAAACUAGCCUGGGCAACAUAGUGACACCCCCAUCUCUACAAAAAUAUUAACAUUAGACAGGUGUGGUGGUGUGCACCUGUAGUCUCAGCUACUCAGGAGGCUGAGGCAGGAGGACUGCUUGAGCCUAGGAGUUUGAGGCUACAGUGAGCUAUAAUUGUGCCACUGCACUCUGGCGGAGCAAGACCCUGUCUCUAAAAAUAAAUAAAUAAAUACAUAAAUAAACAAAGUUUUAACAUUUUAAAAAUUAGCUGGGCGUGGUAAUGCACACCUGCAGUUCCA